AUACUUACCUGAACGGGGUCGACGGCCGAUCAAGAAGGGCCGUGGCCUAGAUCAAUGGCUCACAUUGCACUUGGUGAGUGCGUUGGUCUACCAUCUCCCUAAAUGGGAGAGUGGACGUCGUAAUUUAUGGUAGAGGGGGCGAACGGUAGAGGGGGGUACGCGUUCGUGCGGCCCCUG
rfam:Triticum aestivum genome assembly, contig: Triticum_aestivum_CS42_TGACv1_scaffold_499458_6BL